CAGGAAGCUUGCAAAAUCAUACUCCUCACCAUUAUGCCAUCUUACCUCCUAGAAGUGACUUGCCUUGAGGAAACUGAAGCCCAGAGAUGUAUGCUGGUAGUCAGAAAUCCCUCUUAUCCACGACCGCUUCAACUGUCUUUAAAACAAGAUCAGCUUUCUACUUCCCCGUCAUUCUUAGUUUCACUCUCCCCGCAACAGCGUUGUUGUAAUAGAAAUUUGGUUGGUUCUGGCUGCCUUCUGGUCCAGUGCCUCAAUCCCUGUCAUCAAGGAGUUUCUGGAGAAAGAUGUGUUUAAAAUACUGAAGACUUCUCCCCUAGCAACAGAACUUUCCCAAUGUGACUUUCAGCCAGCAGUAGGUGCAACUUAAGAGAAGAAGCUGGGGUCCAAGUAUGUUUCUUCUAAUGCCCAUAUAGGGACAGC
rnacentral:lncRNA from 10 species